UCGCUAGUAAUCGCGGAUCAGAAUGCCGCGGUGAAUACGUUCCCGGGUCUUGUACACACCGCCCGUCACACCAUGGGAGUCGGAAAUGCCCGAAGUCUGUGACCCAACCUGAGAGGGAGGGAGCAGCCGAAGGCAGGUCUGAUGACUGGGGUGAAGUCGUAACAAGGUAUC
rnacentral:rRNA from 1 species